rnacentral:rRNA from 1 species
UGAGGAAUAUUGGUCAAUGGGCGAGAGCCUGAACCAGCCAAGUAGCGUGCAGGAUGACGGCCCUAUGGGUUGUAAACUGCUUUUAUGUGGGGAUAAAGUGCGUGACGUGUCAUGCAUUGCAGGUACCACAUGAAUAAGGACCGGCUAAUUCCGUGCCAGCAGCCGCGGUAAUACGGAAGGUCCGGGCGUUAUCCGGAUUUAUUGGGUUUAAAGGGAGCGUAGGCUGUCUAUUAAGCGUGUUGUGAAAUAUACCGGCUCAACCGGUGGCUUGCAGCGCGAACUGGUCGACUUGAGUAUGCAGGAAGUAGGCGGAAUUCAUGGUGUAGCGGUGAAAUGCUUAGAUAUCAUGACGAACUCCGAUUGCGAAGGCAGCUUACGGGAGCGCAACUGACGCUAAAGCUCGAAGGUGCGGGUAUCGAACAGG